UCUGGGUCGGGGUUUCGUACGUAGC
rnacentral:piRNA from 8 species